rnacentral:tRNA from 1 species
GCCUUCAUGGCGUAACGGUUAGCACACUUGGUGUGUAUUCAAGAGGUCCAGGUUUGAGUCCUGGAGAGGGCA